CGCCGCCAGCCUGACCGCCUCCCCCAUCCAGACCUUUAACUCGGCCGGUCCGUACCAUUCCCGCGGGCGGGAGGGGGGCCCGGGCCAGGGUGCCUUUCUCCCCCGGCCCCUCGGUGGUCCGGUCCCGUCCCGGCGUCCCGAAACCCGACUCCGGCUCGGCUCGCUGGGCGCCGCGGAACCCGCGGGGGGUCUGGCUCUCCCCUGGGGGCGCCUCGCCGGCUCCCCUCCGCCCUUCGGAGUCCCGGGAGUGGAAGCGCCCAGACUGGCUGACUCAGGAGAGAGUGGAAAGGAGGGGGAGAGACAGAAACAUGGAUGUGAGAGAGACACUUCGAUUGGUUGACUUCUACAUGCACCACGACCAGGGUGGGAAUCGAGCCUGCAACCGAGAGGGAAGGAGAGUAACUUUGGAGAAAGAGAGCAGAUACGACCUUAAUCAAGUGAUCCACGGCAACUUCGCCUGUUAUGGGACACACUGGCUUGUGCCUCCUGGUAGGCUACACAAAGAAUCACUUCUGUGAUGUCCCUGCCGAAGAUGCAAAACCUACACCUAAUCAUGAGGCUCCAUCAGAUAAACUCCAAUUGAGGAACCUUCUACGGAAUAACUGGCCCAUAAUCUUGGUAACUGUCAAGAUAAUGAAAGGCAAGAGAAAAACUGAGGGACUGUUCCAGAUGAAAGGAGAUGAAAGAGAUAAGACAGCUAAGUACAUGAGUAUUUCUGGACGGAUCUUUUGGCUUAUUACAAAGGACGUUAUGAGUGGGACAAUUGACAAUCUUUGACUGGCAUCUGAAGAUUAGGUGAUAGCAAUGUAUCAAUGUCAGUGUCCUGAUUUGGAUGAUUUUAUUGUGAUUAAUAUGUAAGAGAAUUUCCUUGUUUGUAGAAAAUACGGACUAAAGUAUGGCAGUGGUCACGUGCGUUGGAUCAGCAACUUAACAAAUGGCUCAGAAAAAUAAUCUCUCUAUACAAAGAGAGAAUGAUAAAGCAAAUGUGUUUACAUGUCAACAUUUGGGGAUUCUGGGUGAAGGAUAGAUGGGAAUUCUUUGUACAGUGUUUGCAACUCUUCUGUAAGCUUAAAAUUAUUUCAAAAUAAAGUUUAAAAGUUAUUCAGAUGAUACUUAAAUCAUAUAAUGUCAGGCAGUGAUAAGUGAUAUAUAGAAAAAUGAAGUGGGCAAGGGAAUAGCAGAUGAAGGGGUGGUGGUAUUCUAGGUGGUGUGGUCAGGCAGGCCUCUCGGGGAAGGGACAUUUGAGCCGAGACCUGGGUGAAGGGAUGGAGUGAGUCCUGUGGAUAUCUGGGGAGAGAGCCUUCCAGGCUGAAGUUCCCAUCAGAGAAAAGGCCCAAAGUGGAGCCUGCUUAGCACGUGUAUUACUUUCUAUUACCAUGUAAUAAAUUACCACACACUUGGUGGCUCAAAACAACACCCACUUAGCUCCCAGUUCUGUAAGUCACAAGUCUGGCACAGUAACCUGUGCUAUAUAACAUAACCUAAUCACAUCAGCA